UACGUAGGGCGCAAGCGUUAUCCGGAAUUAUUGGGCGUAAAGAGCUCGUAGGCGGUUUGUCGCGUCUGCCGUGAAAGUCCGGGGCUCAACUCCGGAUCUGCGGUGGGUACGGGGCAGACUAGAGUGCAGUAGGGGAGACUGGAAUUCCUGGUGUAGCGGUGAAAUGCGCAGAUAUCAGGAGGAACACCGGUGGCGAAGGCGGGUCUCUGGGCAACAACUGACGCUGAGGAGCGAAAGCGUGGGGAGCGAACAGG
rnacentral:rRNA from 1 species